rnacentral:rRNA from 1 species
GAUGAACGCUGGCGGCGUGCCUAAUACAUGCAAGUCGAGCGAACAGACGAGUUUCUUGCUCCUCUGACGUUAGCGGCGGACGUGUGAGUAACAUGUGGAUAACCUACCUUUAAGACUGGUAUAACUUCGUGAAACCGGUGCUAAUACCGGAUAAUUUAUUGAACCUCAUGGUUCGAUAGUUAAUGACGGUUUUGCUGUCAUUUCUACAUGGUUCCGGGCUGCAUUAGUUAGUUGGUAAGGUAACGGCUUACCAAGGCAACGAUGCGUAGCCGACCUGACAGGGUGUUCGGGCACACUGGAACGGAGACACGGUCCAGAGUCCUACGGGAGGCAGCAGUAGGGAAUGGUCGGCAAUGGGCGGAAGCCUGACGGAGGAACGCCGCGUGAGUGAUGAAAGUCUGCGGAGCGUAAAACUGUGUUAUUAGGGAAGAACAAAUGUGGAAGGAACUAUGCACGUAUUGACGGUACCUAAUCAAAAAGCAACGGCUAACUACGUG